rnacentral:rRNA from 1 species
UACGGGGGGUGCGAGCGUUAUUCGGAAUUAUUGGGCGUAAAGGGCGCGCAGGCGGUUCCGCAAGUCGGGUGUGAAAGCCCGGGGCUUAACCCCGGAAGAGCAUUUGAAACUGCGGGACUUGAGUAUGGGAGAGGAAGGCGGAAUUCCUGGUGUAGCGGUGAAAUGCGUAGAUAUCAGGAGGAACACCGGUGGCGAAGGCGGCCUUCUGGACCAAUACUGACGCUGAGGUGCGAAGGCGCGGGGAGCAAACAGGAUUAGAUACCCUGGUAGUCCGCGCAGUAAACGGUGAUCACUUGGUGCGGCGGGUAUUUACCCCUGCCGUGCCGAAGCUAACGUAUUAAGUGAUCCGCCUGGGAAGUACGAUCGCAAGAUUAAA